GACAAUCUCCGCGUACCUUUCCGGUGCCGGUCACGGCCAGGGACAGGCGGGACAAGCCGAGCGCCGCGUCCCGCAAGGCGGGUUAGGAAGCGUGACAGCGAUGAUUCGGCGAUCCCCCGCUGCACCUAAGGCUGCCUGCCGGGAGCCAGGCAUGCAGAGAGGAACGCCGAGCGCCGGCGCCAUGCCCGCACCGCCGUGUAUGACGUCACGGGUUGCGGAGUGUUCGUUUACCAGGAGGUCUGCUGAGCACAGUUUUAGCAGGAUCUGAGGUCCGUGGUCUCUUCUGGCAACCACUGGCGGCCUGGAUUUAUGGGAGAAGGAAACCCAAGUCUUUCAGUGCAGCAUAGCCAAAUGUAGAUCUCCAGAUGCUUUCCUGCAGGAGAGCUUCUUCAGAGAACAAAGUUGUCACCUGAACCAGUUCCAAAUGGAAGUUAGUGGUUAGGUGUCAUAGUGGCAGGCACCAUCAACCCAGUAUGUACUGUUGCUACUGCAACCAAAAUGCUGCUGUGAGGUUGCACUUACACCCUGCUAACACUCCCUUCCACCCUCCUUAGACAGGUGAUGGCAAACUCAGUGCAUGUACACAUGACAGCGCUGCAGAAGGGCAUCGCUUUCCCCCUUAAGAGCCUCUUGUUAACUUUCCAGCUACUCUAAGACUUGCUCAAAGAAAGCAAACAAACCGUCCUCUGCUUGUGUCCCUGGGAGAUGAAAACGUUGCCAUUUUGUGUAGCUUCAGAAAGUUAUACUGCUGUAAAUUCCAGCUAGGAAGACUGGUGCUUUUCUAGUACUAGUGCUUUUCAGUUUUGCUGCCAUUUUUGCCUAUAGAGGCAAAGAGUCUUUCAAAACUAAAUUACACCAGGAGUACCACAAUGCUGUUAGAUUAAGUGCUGUGCUGUUCCACUCCCGCUGAUGAAAACAAUGAGUCUGUGAGGGUAAAUCUGGGACUUGACAUUUCUAUUUGGAUAAAACCUCUGAUCAGUAGGAAAUGCAUUCUUAAGUCCUGUCUCUUAAAUGGCAAUCGGUGGCUGUGAAUACGCAGUACACUAAGGAGGCUGUGACUCUUCCCUAGCAAUGUCCUCAGCACAGAGAAAUACCUUCAGUACUGGAUAGUGCACAAAUGCAGCCCUGUAUUUCCCUACAUGUUUUGCUGAAAUCAUUUGAAUUAAGAUACUCAGUACAGCAGAUCACUGCUAUAAAAUGCUUUGCAUAAGGAGACCACAUGUGCAGUAUACUUUCGGGUCUUUAAUUUUAAAGAGCUAAAUAUUUAUUAGAAUAUGGUACAGUUAAUACUCCCUGCAGCUGCCUUGAAACUGAAAUACCCCUUUCUCAAAGAUAAUGAGUUAUGCAGCAAGAUAACGUGGU